AUUGAACGCUGGCGGCAGGCCUAACACAUGCAAGUCGAGCGGAUGAAGGGAGCUUGCUCCUGGAUUCAGCGGCGGACGGGUGAGUAAUGCCUAGGAAUCUGCCUGGUAGUGGGGGAUAACGUCCGGAAACGGGCGCUAAUACCGCAUACGUCCUGAGGGAGAAAGUGGGGGAUCUUCGGACCUCACGCUAUCAGAUGAGCCUAGGUCGGAUUAGCUAGUUGGUGGGGUAAAGGCCCACCAAGGCGACGAUCCGUAACUGGUCUGAGAGGAUGAUCAGUCACACUGGAACUGAGACACGGUCCUGACUCCUACGGGAGGCAGCAGUGGGGAAUAUUGGACAAUGGGCGAAAGCCUGAUCCAGCCAUGCCGCGUGUGUGAAGAAGGUCUUCGGAUUGUAAAGCACUUUAAGUUGGGAGGAAGGGCAGUAAGUUAAUACCUUGCUGUUUUGACGUUACCAACAGAAUAAGCACCGGCUAACUUCGUG
rnacentral:rRNA from 1 species